rnacentral:piRNA from 1 species
UGAGAACAUUCUUUGUUUUAGCUGACUCUA